rnacentral:rRNA from 1 species
CCUACGGGUGGCAGCAGGGAGGAAUAUUGGUCAAGGGACGGAAGUCUGAACCAGCCAUGCCGCGUGCAGGAAGACGGCUCUAUGAGUUGUAAACUGCUUUUGUACAAGGGUAAACCUGAAUACGUGUAUUCAGCUGAAAGUACUGUACGAAUAAGGAUCGGCUAACUCCGUGCCAGCAGCCGCGGUAAUACGGAGGAACCAAGCGUUAUCCGGAUUUAUUGGGUUUAAAGGGUGCGUAGGCGGGUUGCUAAGUUAGAGGUGAAAUGUCCGAGCUUAACUCGGGAACUGCCUCUAAUACUGUUGGUCUAGAGCGUAGAUGCGGUAGGCGGAAUGUGUGGUGUAGCGGUGAAAUGCUUAGAGAUCAUGCAGAACACCGAUUGCGAAGGCAGCUUACCAAUCUAUAUCUGACGUUGAGGCACGAAAGCGUGGGGAGCAAACAGGAUUAGAUACCCGAGUAGUC